AUCCCUAGAUGUGGCUAGCAUUGGGUGAGGAUUUUAGUGUUUAGUUUGCUUUCGAAUGGUCUGUGAAGGUCAUGCAUUUAUUACUUGAUAUGUGUGGGCCUUGUGUGUAUAUAAAGGAUAUGAGUGUAAGUUUUAAAUCAUGGGGUGGGGUCGUGAAUAAGAAAGAAAGGAGAUGUGUGAGGCAUGCAUAAAACUUCCAUGCAAUGGUGUGAAAGAAGAGAGAUUUAGUUCACUAACAUGGUGGUGGUUAGGGCCUUCGUGAUUAAUUUAGUGCACUAUCAUGGAGGAGUAAUGUGAAGUCUUACUUGCAAAAUGUCUUGUAAAAGAUGGAGAUACAGGUUGUAGAAAAGCUAAAUCAUAUUUGACAGUUUUUAAAGCAAGAGAUUGAUGACAAGUUUGAAUUCCUUGCUCAUUCUUAAUAACAUAUUCAAGGAUCUUGAAGUUGUUUGAGUGAGCCUUAAAGACAGUUGUAUUG
rnacentral:lncRNA from 1 species